rnacentral:lncRNA from 1 species
CCGGGGGUUAUUUUUGGUUUGCGUGUGGUGGUGGCUGGGGGUGUCGCAUCUGGGUUUUUCUCUUCCCCUGGCAGAUGGGGCGCCGGCCCUUCCCCCCUCGCCAGGAGAGGGAGCAGACUGCUGGGUCAGGAAUCCAGGGGGGUGACUCAGCACCCAUGGGUGCUGGGGACCUUGCGCUGGGAAACCCUGCUUGUGUUGGGGAUCGGGGGCUCUGUAGGAGGGGCUGGUCCAGGCAGCCCGGUCAGGGCCAGUGCUUUGGUCCCAGCAGCUGCGGCGGCACCAGACGCUUCUUCCAUAUUGCUACAGCCUAAGCAGGCAGGGCCUCAUCCUUUACUGACCAGGAUGGCGGUACUCCACAGGCCUCUCGGCGACACGGCCCUCCACCCCUGUGUCCAGGUGACCUGGCUUUGCCCACCUCCCUGGUUUCCUCACUGGAGCAUCAGAGUGUCCCGUGUCCCUACAACUGCCCACGUCCUUGGUCACCAGGGUGAAUGAUUGCCUCCCAUAACCUCUGACCUUUGGAGUGACACGAUUCCUUGACCAAUGUCCUCAGAAGCAGGCCAGCGCUGGCUCCUCUUGCUUUCACAUUUUC